CUUGUCCAUCGGUUCUGAUGAGCGGCAACACCAUAGCAGGCUUCAGGAUGAUGGACAUGUUUGGCCUGGUAGAGAAGGAGUACAGUAACGUAGAGGGAGUGUCCCUGGAACCAGGCUCCUUCAACAGCUUCCCCUGCUACAGACUGCGCAAAGAUGCCCUGGUCUCACAGCCCACCAAGUACCUCCACCCAGAAGGUUUGCCCUCUGACUACACCAUCACCAUCCUGUUCCGCCU